GAUGAAGAACGCAGCGAAAUGCGAUAAGUAAUGUGAAUUGCAGAAUUCAGUGAAUCAUCGAAUCUUUGUACGCACAUUGCGCCCGCCAGUAUUCUGGCGGGCAUGCCUGUCUGAGCGUCAUUUCAACCCUCAUGCCCCUAGGGCGUGGUGUUGGGGAUCGGCCAAAGCCCGCGAGGGACGGCCGGCCCCUAAAUCUAGUGGCGGACCCGUCGUGGCCUCCUCUGCGAAGUAGUGAUAUUCCGCAUCGGAGAGCGAUGAGCCCCUGCCGUUAAACCCCCAACUUUCCAAGGUUGACCUCAGAUCAGGUAGGAAUACCCGCUGAACUUAAGCAUAUCAAUAAGCGGAGGA
rnacentral:misc_RNA from 1 species